rnacentral:rRNA from 1 species
AAUGAACGCUGGCGGUAUGCCUAACACAUGCAAGUCGAACGAACACACAGUAAGCUCUUGCUCUUACGGUUAGCGACUGGCGGACGGGUAACGCAUACAUCACCAUCUUCUUUUUCUUGGAUAACAACGUAGGACCGCUUCCACUACUACAUCAUACAACCUACCGCUGGGAUCAGUGGUUCUUCGCACCUUUCCCGUUUCAUUUAGCCGGUGCCGCAUUAGCUAGUUGGCUGGGUAAGGUCCCACCAAGGCAACGAUGCGUAGCUGACCUGAGAGGAUGAUCAGCCACACUGGAACUGAGACACGGUCCAGACUCCUACGGGAGGCAGCAGUGGGGAAUAUUGGGCAAUGGGCGAAAGCUUGACGGAGCCAUGCCGCGUGAGUGAAGAAGGUCUUCGGGUUGUAAAGCUCUGUUGUUGGGAAAGAAAAGCAGUAGGUGAAUAUCUCGAUGUCUUGACGGUACCUAAACAAUAAGCACCGGCUAACUUCGUG